AGAUACACCCUCCUCCCCUGCCAUGUUGAAUCCAAAUCUCACUACACUGCGAGGAUGUGCUAAUAGGAAACGGAUAGUUUCCUUUGGAAUAGAAAGUCAAAGAUAUUUCUUUUGGUCUCCCACGAACCUGAGAACAUCUAAGAGGACCUAAGCAAGGGAGAAGUCUGUAGUUGAAGAUUUAUAUUUAUAGCCCUUGAUGAACUGAAUACAUUUACAAGCUGCAUUUUGAAAUCAUAAUGAUCUAAUGUGAAGCAAUCAAAAUUCCAAAAUCAUCUAAUCAAGAAUGACAUCAGAAGCAAACAAUCUCUAGAUGGAGAAGGUAUAAUUCCCUCUGUAAAUCUUCGAUUUGGAGCAGAUGUUCUAAUUCUGUGGAUUAAGUUAAGAAGUGUUGAGCUAAGAUGUCCAGAAGACGGUUAUUUAGAAAAGGUGGACCUCCUAGCAUGGGAGGGCGGCUACGGAAUGCAUUGAUGUGGUCCCAUUUACUGCAACAUUCGAGCCCUGGCCCCUGAUCUAGAAACAGAACUGCCGGCUCCAAAGGUUGAUGAAGACAUAAAGAGGCUAUGACUCCUUUCUUGACUAAAGC